rnacentral:misc_RNA from 1 species
UCAAACUUGGUCAUUUAGAGGAAGUAAAAGUCGUAACAAGGUCUCCGUUGGUGAACCAGCGGAGGGAUCAUUACAGGGCAUUUUAGCUCUAUAACCGACCGCGAACCUACCUGAAGACAACCAUUCCUGCUCCGGCGGGCUGCCCCGGGGAGGGGCGGUCUGCCGCUGAGGCGCCCGCCGGAGCGGGGCGUAGCGCUGUUCUCCACGGCGCUCCUCCAGAACCUCUGCCACUGUAUUUUCUGAGUACGUCCCAAGAAAAGAAAAAAUCACAACUCUCAACAAUGGAUCUCUUGGUUCCGGCAUCGAUGAAGAACGCAGC